CGAGUAUCAUCGUCAUUCAUAUUAAAAAAAAUAUUCCAUUUUAAAUGACCAUUGUUUAGGUGUUGUUUUAUUUUAUAAUUUGAACGUAACAAUAUAUAUUUGGAUUUCAGGUACGCGUUCAUUGAAACCGUCGCCAAAGAGUAUAUUACAAGGCUAGAAUAUCAUAAUCAAUUCAAUCCAUGGAAUGAAUCAUAAUAUUUUAGUGAGGCUAGUAAAAACCCACUAUCGUCUUUUCCCAAAAGAGAAAAUAGGUGAAUCCGACAGGAAAACUGGCUGAAACUGACAUCUUCUUUAAAAAACAAAAUUUCAUCUUCUUAAAAAAAAUUUGUUUUGUUUUCUGGUUAACAUCUUUUAAAAACUAAAAGUGUUUGUAAACUUAAAAGUCAUAUAUAUAUCGGAUUGUCUUUAGAGAUAAUCAAUGGAUGCAACUGGAAUUUGUGGGAGAAAACUGUAUGAAAUAAUUCAUUCAUGUAUGGAAGAUAAAAGUCAAAAUAAUUAAACUGUGAAAACAAUACUGUUUACUUUUUUCAAGAAUGUGUUCGAUGGAAAAAAUAAGGUUUUUAUGUCAUAAUUUGUUUAAUGUCCAAUCGAUCAACCCAUGAUGUAUUAAUUAUAGUUUUGUUCUAUUAUUUUCAAUAAAAAUUGAUUUGAUCCAUCGGAAAGAAAUUAUAUAAUAACAACAAAAAAUAUUUUAUAUAUAUAAAUAAAAUGAUCGCAUAUAUAAAAAAAACUAUCGAUAAUAUAUACAAAUAAACUAAUUCUGCGCAAGGCGCAGGUCUUAUUCUAGUCUUCUUUAAAAAACAAAAUUUCAUCUUCUUAAAAAAAAUUUGUUUUGUUUUCUGGUUAACAUCUUUUAAAAACUAAAAGUGUUUGUAAACUUAAAAGUCAUAUAUAUAUCGGAUUGUCUUUAGAGAUAAUCAAUGGAUGCAACUGGAAUUUGUGGGAGAAAACUGUAUGAAAUAAUUCAUUCAUGUAGAUUCUUAAGAAACUAUCAUUUAUAGGGAAAUAAAAACAAGUUUCAUUCUAAUGAUGUAAUAUUGUUAUAAAACAUGUAUGAUUAAAAACACAGUAAACGAAAUAAAAUAAUAUGGAAUCAAUAUGGUAAAAAUAAACUAUACCGAACCGAACCAAAAUAAACAAUAUGGUUUGAUUUUGAAUGGAUGUAAUUUUAUAAAAACCAUAGAAUUUGGAUAUGGUUCGGUUUAUAACCGAUUAAACCAUCUAAAACAGAAACAUAUAUAUAUAUAUAUAUAUCGGAUACAUGAAAAGCUAUUUGUUAUAUAAGUUAUGUUUUGUUAAUAGCUAAUACCAUAUUUUUUACACUAGUAAAGAAGUUCUAAUUUGAAAACCACUUAAACUAUAAUCAAAUAACAACUCAUCAAAGCCUGAGAAUUCUUCUUCUCUUAGUCUUUUUCUUUUACUGUUUUUGCUUUCUUUCGCCAUGGAGCAAACUGAAGAGAAGAUAUAAUUGUGAUAGACACCAAUAAAUAGAAAUUAUUCAUAAUUUUUUUUUAUCUAUAAAUGAACAGAGCUUUGUGUUCAAUCGGAAGAGACAUGACACUGAUGAACAUUGAGUAUGGGAGAGUGUAAACAGUUUCUUAUAUAACAAAUAGCUUUGGUUUUGGUUCUAGAUUAAUUAUUUUAUUUGAUGGUAGAAACAUUUUAUUUAUUUUGUUCUUUUUAUUAACAUCUGGCAUUUUCUGAUAAAUGAUUUCUUUGACAAUGUGACUCUAAAACUUAUAUAUUAUGACACCAAAUAAUGAUUUUUGGUUUAAAACCGAAAAAUAAAAAACCGAAUGUGUUUAAGCCGAACCAAACCGAAAUAAAUAUGAAUUUAGAAUGAUAGUUAUAUUUACCAACCGAAAACCCUAUAAACUGAUCCGAAACCGAACCGAUAUCCGGACUGAAAGGGCCUAACUGAAAUUCUAUUUUCUAUAACUUUCAUUAUUCCAUUCAUUUGUAUUCUAUUUUUUUUUUUAAAUCAUUGUUUUUCUAAACAUGAAAACAAAUUACAAUCUUGUUCUAAAACGAGUCCGCGGAGGUCGAUUUUGUGGCACCAACUUGCUCAUCGAAAUUCCUCUGUGGCGAUUAUAUUACAUGUGGCCAACUAGCCCUGGGCAAAAAAAACCAGAACCGAAAAACUGAACCAGACCGAAACUCUCAAAUACCCGAACGGUUCCUAUAUUUAUAUCUGAAUAACCGAAACCGAACCGAGAACCGAACGGAUACCCGAAUAUACAAAAAAUAAGUUUCAGUUUUUUUUUAUAUAAGGUAAAAUAUCAUCAACCCCACUUGAACCAAAGUUGGACAUGAAGAAUGGGAACAUUGUUACCAUCGGACGACAUUAUCUUUUAUGUACUUCUAUAUUAAAUUACAGUAAAUAAUUAUGAAAAUAACAUUUUAGUAACUCAAACUCUUAUUGUAUUGACGAAUAUUCAAGUGCGUAACUACUAAACCACUUAGAUUAACAUGUUAAUUAAUAUAUUAUAUAUAUACAUAUCCCCUCCUUUAUUGCGGAAACUUUGGCUGUGUUAACAACUAUGAACUUUGCCCUCUCUCACCGGAUUGGACUCGAUUGCAAUCUUCUCUGAUUCUCAAGUGCUCAUCAACAUGAUUAAGAAGAAGAAUAUGAAGCUGGAGAUUCAUGGAGCCCUCCAAGAUAUCUAUAUCCUUCUACUUUUUUUCAAGUCGAUCUCUUUUAAUUUUAUCCCAAGAUCAGCAAAUGUUAGGCCUGAUACUACGGUAAAACAUGUAUUUUGGGCUCUGAACCUAUUUUAAUUGUAUGAAUGAAAUCUGAAUUUGCAUAUAUAUAUAUAUAUAUAUAUAUAUAUAUAUAUAUAUAUAUAUAUAUUCAUAUAUUAAAUGGAUACCCGGAACCAAACUAAAAUCGAACUGAACCAAAAUUUAGAAAUACUUAUUGGGUAUAAGAAUGAUUUAUCCGAUAUACUCGGAACCGAAUGGUUCCUAUCCGAAACCGAACCGAAUACCCAGGACUACGGCCAAUAAAUCAAAAUAAAAGAGAACCUUUUUUAUCUUUUCGAAGCUGAAAUUGAUAUUUACAUCAUAGAUCCAUCAUUUUCUAUGUUGAUAAACGAAGCAAAUCAGAGAAGAAAAACAUUGAACUAUUCUAGAAAAUAAAAAGGCUGUGUCGAUUAGGUCUAAGAUGAAAACAAAAUUACGACAUUAUCUUUUUCUAAUAAAAACCGAAAAAAUACAAAUAAUUGAAAUCGCAUUUACUGCUCAACUAAACGGUGGGCUACAUAUUCAAUUACUAUAUUCGAUUGCAUAAAUAUAUAUACAUAAUAAUUAAAUAUAUUUAAAAUUCAUCCCUGCAUAUUCUCAUAUGUUAACCAGAUCACGGUGUGGUGGUCUAAGAUCAUAUCCAAUGGUACAAGAUUUUUUUUUACGUAUUUUACUUUAAAAUAAAGUAAUUCUUUAUAGAGUUGAAUUUACUUCAAUAGUUCACUCUAUUAUAGGAUAAUUCUAUUAUAGACUGAACUAUUAUAGCAAAUCCAACUUUAUAAUAGAAGUAUUAUAUUUUAUUGUAAAAUAUAGAAGAUUUUUUUGUGUUCCAAUAGAGAUAUUCUAAUAGUUUCUACUAGAGCCUGUUAAUCCAUGUCAGAAAUUGAUUCUCUUAUAGUACAAAAUUAUUAGUUCCACAUAUACCCACGCAUAUAAAAAUUAUUGCUUACAAUCCAUUUAAAUAUCAAACAAAGUGUUUAUUCGUAGACUACACAGUUUUCGCUUGUCGCCUUCAAAAAAAAAAAUUUCUCAUAUGUUUUCGCUUUUCAAACAAUUCGUUAGGUUCACAGAUAAACUGCGAACGAGUUUGAAGCAAAGGUUACAAAAUACAACUAAUAAGCUUCUUUUGGUUAAACCGUGGUUGCAGGUGCAGCUAGUAUAAUUUUCACUUGAAUCUCCAAAUGAUUUUUUUUUAUAUAUUGUCUGCUGCUAGCCAAUUCUUGUAGAUUAUAAUAUAAAAAAUUAAGUUCAGAUAAUUUAGGAUUGGUAACCAUAAAAUUAAAAUAAAAUAAAUUUUACUGGUGUGAUAAGAUGUACCAAUAAAAAUAUAAAAUAAUUAUUUUCCUUGUUCACGAUGGACAUGUAAAUAGACAUAAAUCAUAAAUGUCAAAUAAUGCAGAUCUUUGGGAUAGAUCAAUAAAUGAAAGAAACAAAGAUUAUUGGCUGUACGUUUUUCACGCCUUUGAUGUCCCAUCGAUAGAAAAUCAAUAUCCCCUUAUUAUUAAAAAGGAAGCAAAUAAAAAGAGAAACCUUAAAAAUGUACUAUAUUUACAAUGGUGCCAUUAUGACGACGUGUCGCACAGUCAAGCCUUCUCAGGCUGCUUUUGAAAAAACCCACGCCCAGCUUAGCUAUUUACCACUAUUGCCAUUGGACUAACCCCAACAUUUAAUUGCAUGUUCCUUAUAUAUAAUGUAUAAAACAUGGUUAUCUGGCACACAUUAGUUUCAGACAAAUCAUCUCCUAUCUCAUAUCUCAUAUUGUCACGUAGUUAGUAAUAAAAAGCCAUGAUUUUACACAGUAUUUUGACCAAUCUAAAUGUUUACAAUUUUAUAUUAUAAUUCCAACGAACUAUUUAAUUGAUUUUUACAUUUCCUGUAUUUGGGACUAUUUCUUGGUCAAGAACUUAAUAGAUUAUUUUUCUAGCAGACAAUAUGUAUUGUACGUAUGUUAAUAUAUUGUCACGUAGUAACUAAUAAAAAAUCAUGAUUUCCAUAGAAUUUUGACCAAUCUAAAUGUUAUCCCAUAGAUUUAUAAUCCCAACGAAAUAUACCAUUAUGAUUGUUACUGUGUUCAUACUUUGUAUGAUCAAGGUAAAAUGAAUAAUUUAUUUUCUGUAAUUCAUAAUUGAGGAUUUCAUCUUUAUGAUCUUACCUAUUAUGUAGUCAAUCUAAUAUAAAAAAAUUAGGGAUAUUUUUGUGUCAUCUUCAUCUCUACGGAAAUCAUGUUCUUCAUUCGAGUCAAAAUCAUAUUGUUUAUGGUAAUACUUGAUUGCCAUGAUUAACGGUAGCUGUUAUAUGCAUUGAGUACUGCUUGACGUGAUUACUAAUACAUUUUCAAUCCCAUAAAGAAAUUCUUUGACUUUCAAUUUGAAUUUAGUCCUAAAAUAGUUUUAUUCGGUAUUUAUUAUCUUCCUAAAAUUUCAAUAUUUUAUAAUACCUCAAACCCGGAUUGUCAAUUUGUUUGAUUGCACGUAUAUGUGAUAUAUCAAUCGCAUUUAUUAGUGAAUAAGUUGGAACUUAUAUAAAUACCGAAGAAGAUACUUCUUCGACCAUAUCAUCAUCUUUUCUGUAUUCAUUAUUCUCUAAAAGUUUCUUUUCCCCUAUGAUUCAAAAAAAGAUGGCAGGCUUAGAUUUUGUUAGCGACUUGAAGCCUUUCAAGUCAAUGUGGAAAAUAAGAGUUAAGGUGAUUCGUCUGUGGAAGCAGUAUUCUUGUGCUUCCGGAGAAACAAUGGAAAUGGUGUUAGCUGAUUCUAGAGGUGAUAUGAUCCAUGGUACUGUGAAAAAAGAAAUGGUCAGCCAGUUUGAAACUUUAAUCAGUCAAGGUGAAUCGAAGUUGAUGGUGAAUUUCACCAUGGCAUCCAGUUCUCUUUAGUCAAUAUGGAGUUCGUUUUCUUUAUAUUUUGUUACUAGACUUAUUUUCACUUUUUUUCCUAUGAUCUAAAUACAUUUUACUUUACUCUCAUUGACAGGUAUGAACACAUUAAGUGUGUAGCAGUUGGAGUAGUUGCUCUGUUUUUACAUAAUUACUGGAACUCAACCAAUGUCCCUGUUGUCCUAUGUGUGUUACAGUUUUGGAAAUUGAUUGGGGUGUUGGUAACUUACAGUUCUAAUACUUUAGUUGCUGUAUUUGUUAAUUUUGAUAUUCGUUUAUGGUGACGUUUAUUUUUUGGAUCAUGAUCAGGUGGAUUCAAGCACAUGGCAACAAUUGAUGGAUUUUCGAGAAUUUUAUUUGAGCCUGAUGAUGUUCCAGAGAUCCAGUCUUUCAGAAUGAGGUAAUACAAUUUGAUGGUUGAAUAGAGAACUAACUUGAAAGAUAAAAGAAAUAAGUAUUUAGUUCUUUUUUUUUUUACAUUAUCACAUCUCUAUCCUGAAUAUCUUCAACAGUUAUGAUUGUAACCUUCAAUCAACCCCUUUACACGGUCAGAGUUUUUGCGAGAUGGUGAUACCUUCUCCAAACCUAAAUAAGAAUAUAUUUCAGUUGAUGUUCUAUCAAUAAUAAAAAGAAAAGCAGACCCCAGAUGAGGGGAGGAAACGUUAGCUGAAAUAAAUGAGAUCGAAGUUUCAGAAGUUUCGAUUCUAAUCAUUAAUCACUCAUACUCCUUUGAUAAGAUUGAAUAUCAUCCCUUUCUUAUUAAGUUGCGAAUGUUUGCUACUUAAUUGAAAAUUGUUGAGUGAUCAAUAUUCUCUUACCUGCAGUCGGGAUUCAAAUAAGGAACACAUAGUGGAGGGCUGAAAAUCUCGGGAACCAGAAUCUUUAUUCACACGAGUUGCUGAGUUUUUAAAUUUUGUUUUGAAGGAGAAGAUUCACGAGACCGAAAUCAUCGAGAUAAACCAAAUACACAAAAUUGAAGAUGAGGAAGGUGUAUCACCAAAAAGAUUACAAGUGACAGCUAAUUCUAGAUGAAUCGAACAAAUUUAAUUUUUCUGUAAUAACCCUUAUUUUUUUUCAGGCAAAGUAAUUUAUUUUCGUGAGACGAAGAAAAGUUCUUUUUUUGUUUUUAACAACAAUCUUUUUUUUUAGUCAAAGACAAGUUAUUUUUUUGGGCCUUA